GAUGAAGAACGCAGCGAAAUGCGAUAAGUAAUGUGAAUUGCAGAAUUCAGUGAAUCAUCGAAUCUUUGAACGCACCUUGAGCCCUUUGGCCAUUCCGAAGGGCAUGCCUGUUUGAGUAUCAUGAACACCUCAACUCUCAUGGCUCGCCAUGAUGAGCUUGGAUUUGGGGGUCUUGCUGGCCUGUGGUCGGCUCCUCUCAAAUGGAUCAGCUUGCCAGUGUUUGGUGGCAUCACAGGUGUGAUAACUAUCUGCGCUUGUGGUUUUCCAUCAGAUAACCUUCAGUGAUGGAGGUUCGCUGGAGCUCAUAAACGUCUCCCCUGAGCGGGGACAGCCCUUUGAAUGUUUGAUCUCAAAUCAGGUAGGACUACCCGCUGAACUUAAGCAUAUCAAUAGGCGGAGGA
rnacentral:misc_RNA from 1 species